UUACGGCCAUAUCACGUUGAAACAUAGGUUCCCGUAUGAUCACUGAAGUUUAGCAACAUCGAGGUUGGUCAGUAUCUAGAUGGAUGACCACUUGGGAAUACCAGAUACUGUG